rnacentral:lncRNA from 1 species
AAAAAUAGUGUGGAUCAAGCUGAUCUAUGAAUUGAAAAUUUUGAAAAUUGACUGUCCAAAAUUGCAUUACAAGAUGCAUUAUUUCCAAAACUUGAAUUCUAUUUAUUUUAAUGUCCAUGAAUCUUGAUGUCAAGAUGAUCAAUUUGAGAACAUUUGUGCAUCAAAACAAACAUCUUCUAAUGAAAUUUUGACACAGGGUCUGAUUUGAUUGUUUAGAGCCUAGGCUCUAUAUAAGCUUUUUCCUUUACUUUAUUGGGAAAAACUAAGGUUUCUUUCUUAUUUUUUGAACGUUGAUAGAAAAAUCACCAAUUUGGGCAUCUUAUACCUAUUUUUAGUUUUGAGGCUUAUUCAAAAUGUGUCCUAUCAAAGGGAGUUGAGAUCCAUUGCUUCUUCUUUUCUCCUUUUUUUUUCCUCUCUUGAAAGGUAGGGUUUUCCCUUUUGAUAAAAGUGAGAAAGGGGAAGGGAUUGAAGAAGGAGCUUCUUGUUAGUUUUGAUCUAGAAUGAAAUAUGCUUUGCAGAUGGUGUUUUUCGAUGAGCUCAAGAAGGGGUUUUGUUGAGGUUUUUUUUCAUCAGAUUCUUCACUAAGGUUAUAUUCUAUCUCGUAUUGUAAUUAUCUUUGAUAUUGGAGCCGCCUUACUAAUGGAUGUAGCCCUAAUGGUGCACCAUAUAACUUAGGUAUUAUAUUAUUUUUUUGGUUAUUUCGUUGUAUACUUUCUUUAU